CACGCUGUAAACGAUGAAUACUAGGUGUAGGGGGUAUCGACUCCCCCUGUGCCGGAGCAAACGCAAUAAGUAUUCCGCCUGGGGAGUACGGCCGCAAGGUUGAAACUCAAAGGAAUUGACGGGGGCCCGCACAAGCAGCGGAGCAUGUGGUUUAAUUCGAAGCAACGCGAAGAACCUUACCAGGUCUUGACAUCCAAUUAAAACUGAUGAAAGUCAGUGUGCCCUUAUGGGCGAAUUGAGACAGGUGG
rnacentral:rRNA from 1 species